rnacentral:rRNA from 1 species
GCGAGUGAAGCGGCAACAGCUCAAAUUUGAAAUCUGGCCUCUUCGGGGUCCGAGUUGUAAUUUGUAGAGGGUGUUUCGGGCGCGAUGCCGGUCUAAGUUCCUUGGAACAGGACGUCGCAGAGGGUGAGAAUCCCGUACGUGACCGGCGAUCAAGCCUGUGUGAAGCCCCUUCGACGAGUCGAGUUGUUUGGGAAUGCAGCUCAAAAUGGGUGGUAAAUUUCAUCUAAAGCUAAAUAUUGGCCAGAGACCGAUAGCGGACAAGUAGAGUGAUCGAAAGAUGAAAAGCACUUUGGAAAGAGAGUCAAACAGUACGUGAAAUUGUUGAAAGGGAAGCGCUUGCAAUCAGACCGGUCCGGAGGCGAUCAGCCGCUGCUUGUUCAGCGGUGCACUCGCCUCCGAUCCGGCCAGCAUCGGUUUGGGCGGCGGGAUAAAAGUCCCGGGAAUGUAGCUUCUCUCGGGGAGUCUUAUAGCCCGGGUCGCAAUGCCGCCCGCCUGGACCGAGGACCGCGCUCGGCUAGGAU